UCAAUGCAGGAGGAGCCGCCAACAUAGUCAUCACCAAACAAGGUUAUCUCGCCAGGCUGGUUGGGCUUUCUGCUGUUGUGACCAUUCACGCGUGGCAUACCAAUCUGCCAACAUACCUGAUGAUGAUUCCUCAGUGACCUCAUUCUUACCCAGGGUGCAUUGUCACAGGAUGUGCAACUACACAAAAUACAGGUGAAACAGUCUUUGGCGAGGCCCUCAAACGUUCCAAAUCCCAGAAAACGUAGCUGAAUGGCAGGGAUCUUGGGCAGCCUGCCUCUACCACUGCUGAAGCCGCCAUACAGGAUGCCCCCCAUUAGAAAUGUG